rnacentral:pre_miRNA from 1 species
AACUUUUUGAAUCCGUGCUGAGGUUUUGUCAGACACCAACCCAUUAGGGCUGAUCAGACUUUCAAGAUAGGUGUUGUC